ACUGCCACGGAUGGCAGUGGUUCCAAACAGUAACGAUGUUUUAAAGCAGAGUAGUUUGCAAAGCUUUAAAACUCGCAAGGUGUAAUUUUGGCACGGACGGCAAAAUUACACCGACU
rnacentral:sRNA from 1 species